GUUAGUGUUUGGACAGGACCAAUAUGGAAUACCAGGGAUCUUCAAGUAGACCCAGGAAAGACUCCUGCCUGAAACCUUGAAGAUAUGCUGUCAAUCAGAACCAGCAAUGCUAGGUAAAAGUACUGAACUGAGCAAUGGUAAAAACCUUCAUUUUUAAGUAAAAAGGAAGCACAAAAACCGCCACCGCCACCACCCCAUUUCAUACAUUUAAGAUACAAUAAAAAUCUUCCUGGCUGCCCUCCAACAACAGGAACAGGAACAGUCAUUAAUGGUGGCCUAUGACCUUGUGGAGAAGUGGGAACUGUGGAAAAAGCUUUCUGCAGCACCUGGAAGUCUGGUUCAAAGAAUUCUAAGCACUUAGGUCAAGAGUCUCACGGCACACAGUAGACCAGUUGCUUAGGGAGAACAGCCUCUCCGAUGAACAGAACUUUUUCCAUCAGCAGAACACCACCACUGAUCUUAUUUCCAUCAGCAGAAC